rnacentral:rRNA from 1 species
CCUACGGGAGGCAGCAGUGGGGAAUAUUGGACAAUGGGGGGAACCCUGAUCCAGCCAUGCCGCGUGUGUGAAGAAGGCCCUCGGGUUGGAAAGCACUUUCAGUGAGGAAGAACGCCUGGUGGUUAAUACCCAUCAGGAAAGACAUCACUCACAGAAGAAGCACCGGCUAACUCCGUGCCAGCAGCCGCGGUAAUACGGAGGGUGCGAGCGUUAAUCGGAAUUACUGGGCGUAAAGCGCGCGUAGGUGGCUUGAUAAGCCGGUUGUGAAAGCCCCGGGCUCAACCUGGGAACGGCAUCCGGAACUGUCAAGCUAGAGUGCAGGAGAGGAAGGUAGAAUUCCCGGUGUAGCGGUGAAAUGCGUAGAGAUCGGGAGGAAUACCAGUGGCGAAGGCGGCCUUCUGGACUGACACUGACACUGAGGUGCGAAAGCGUGGGUAGCAAACAGGAUUAGAUACCCUAGUAGUC